rnacentral:rRNA from 1 species
AGACCGGUCUACUGGUCGUGCUUUUGUACGUACUGGUUUUAUUGGUUUCUCCUUUCUGACGAACUAUAAUGCCAUUAAUUUGGUGUUAUAGGGAAUCAGGACUGUUACUUUGAAAAAUUAGAGUGUUUAAAGCAGGCUCACGCUUGAAUACAUUAGCAUGGAAUAACGGAAUAGGACGUUUGAUUUUAUUUUGUUGGUUUCUAGGAUCGACGUAAUGAUUAAUAG